rnacentral:tRNA from 1 species
GAUAGGAUGGCUGAAUUUAUAGGUGGUGGAUUGUAAAUCUAUUUAUGAGAACUUUUCUCUCCUAUCAU